CCUACGGGGAGCUGCAGUGGGGAAUAUUGGACAAUGGGCGAAAGCCUGAUCCAGCCAUGCCGCGUGUGUGAAGAAGGCCUCGGGUUGUAAAGCACUUUCAGUGGGGAAGAAAGCCUUGGGGCUAAUACCCUCGAGGAAGGACAUCACCCACAGAAGAAGCACCGGCUAACUCCGUGCCAGCAGCCGCGGUAAUACGGAGGGUGCGAGCGUUAAUCGGAAUUACUGGGCGUAAAGCGCGCGUAGGCGGUCUGAUAAGCCGGUUGUGAAAGCCCCGGGCUCAACCUGGGAACGGCAUCCGGAACUGUCAGGCUAGAGUGCAGGAGAGGAAGGUAGAAUUCCCGGUGUAGCGGUGAAAUGCGUAGAGAUCGGGAGGAAUACCAGUGGCGAAGGCGGCCUUCUGGACUGACACUGACGCUGAGGUGCGAAAGCGUGGGUAGCAAACAGGAUUAGAUACCUGGUGUC
rnacentral:rRNA from 1 species